UUCCGGCUGGCCUGGAGGACGGAGGAGCCAGAACUCGGGACUGUGGCCAGCGCAGCCUCAUUCCUUCCUCUAACAGUUACAGUCUGAGAUUUAACACUGUGUGGAGACUUGGACAUGCACACAGUUUUGAGCUCCCAAGUGUCCUGGGAGAGAAGAGGGAGGUAAGUUCUUAUAUAUCUCAAGCAGGCCUCAAGCUUGGUAAGGAGCAGAGAAUGAUCUUGAUCUUUGACCCUCCUGAAUUCUGGGAUUACAGGUGAGUUAGAUGUGUUCAGGGUGGGAUGACUGCAGAUGAAACCUAUUUUGGACCACAGCAAAGUAUUGCUAGAAGUUAACAGAUCUUCUAUUCUCCACUAACUUAAGACAAGCAUGCUGGAGCAAAUUACUUCGGACAGUUUUAUUUGGGAGUGGGGGUGCCAUGCUCACUCCUCCUCAAUGGAUUUCACACAUUUCUCGUAUGCUUCUUCACUCGUUAAUUCAUCCAGCUCUGAAGGGUCACUCGGUGUCAUCUUGAUCAACCAACCAUCUUCAUAACAGGAUUUGCUGACGAGCCCCGGGUUUUCGGCAAGUGCUUCAUUGACUUCAGUUACCUCUCCUGACAGAGGAGAGUAGAGCUCACUGGCAGCCUUCACCCUCUCCAAAGCACCAAAUUCAUCUUGCUUUUUUUUUUUUUUUUCAGUUUGGUCCCAACUUCAGGCAGACUACAGUAAACAACAUCUUCAAAGCUUCCUGUGCAAAAUUGCUGAUUCCCACUGUUCCAAUACCAUUCUCUGUGGUUA